AUUGAACGCUGGCGGCAGGCCUAACACAUGCAAGUCGAGCGGAUGAAGGGAGCUUGCUCCUGGAUUCAGCGGCGGACGGGUGAGUAAUGCCUAGGAAUCUGCCUGGUAGUGGGGGAUAACGUCCGGAAACGGGCGCUAAUACCGCAUACGUCCUGAGGGAGAAAGUGGGGGAUCUUCGGACCUCACGCUAUCAGAUGAGCCUAGGUCGGAUUAGCUAGUUGGUGGGGUAAAGGCCUACCAAGGCGACGAUCCGUAACUGGUCUGAGAGGAUGAUCAGUCACACUGGAACUGAGACACGGUCCAGACUCCUACGGGAGGCAGAAGUGGGGAAUAUUGGACAAUGGGCGAAAGCCUGAUCCAGCCAUGCCGCGUGGGUGAAGAAGGGCUUCGGAUUGUAAAGCACUUUAAGUUGGGAGGAAGGGCAGUAAGUUAAUACCUUGCUGUUUUGACGUUACCAACAGAAUAAGCACCGGCUAACUUCGU
rnacentral:rRNA from 1 species